GUAGUGAGAAGUUGGGAUAAGUCCAGCAACGAGCGCAACCCCAGUCCUUUGUUGCCAGCACGUAAUGGUGGGAACUCAAGGGAGACAGCCGGUGAUAAACCGGAGGAAGGUGGGGAUGAAGUCAAGUAAUUAUGGCCCGUACGGCCAGGGGUACGCACGUGAGACAAUGGCGAGAGUAGAGGGCUGCAAGCUAGCGAUAGUGAGCGAAUCCCAAAAAGCGCGUAGUAGUCCGGAUCGGAGUGUGCAACUCGAAUCCGUGAAGUAGGAAAAGCUAGUAAUCG
rnacentral:rRNA from 1 species